UCUCGAUAGCGUAAAAGUUAACUCAUAUUUGUAUGGAGUUGGAACGUUUGUCUACGCUAGGUGCGCUGUUCCAACUGCAUACAAAUUUGAGUUAACUUUUACGCUAUCGA
rnacentral:pre_miRNA from 9 species